rnacentral:rRNA from 1 species
ACGGGUAGCCGGCCUGAGAGGGUGACCGGCCACACUGGGACUGAGACACGGCCCAGACUCCUACGGGAGGCAGCAGUGGGGAAUAUUGCACAAUGGGCGAAAGCCUGAUGCAGCAACGCCGCGUGAGGGAUGACGGCCUUCGGGUUGUAAACCUCUUUUAGUAGGGAAGAAGCGAAAGUGACGGUACCUGCAGAAAAAGCACCGGCUAACUACGUGCCAGCAGCCGCGGUAAUACGUAGGGUGCAAGCGUUGUCCGGAAUUAUUGGGCGUAAAGAGCUCGUAGGCGGUUUGUCGCGUCUGCUGUGAAAUCCCGAGGCUCAACCUCGGGCUUGCAGUGGGUACGGGCAGACUAGAGUGCGGUAGGGGAGAUUGGAAUUCCUGGUGUAGCGGUGGAAUGCGCAGAUAUCAGGAGGAACACCGAUGGCGAAGGCAGAUCUCUGGGCCGUAACUGACGCUGAGGAGCGAAAGCAUGGGGAGCGA